rfam:Erinaceus europaeus unplaced genomic scaffold scaffold00182, whole genome shotgun sequence
GUCUAUAGCCAUACAGCCCUGAACAUGCCCGAUCUCAGCUGAUCUCAGAAGCUAAGCAGGGUCGGGCCUGGUUAAUACUUGGAUGGGAGAAAUCCAGGUACUUGAAAAG